rnacentral:rRNA from 1 species
UACAGAGGGUGCAAGCGUUGUUCGGAAUUAUUGGGCGUAAAGGGCGCGUAGGCGGUGCGGUAAGUCACCUGUGAAACCUCUGGGCUUAACUCAGAGCCUGCAGGCGAAACUGCCGUGCUUGAGUGUGGGAGAGGUGCGUGGAAUUCCCGGUGUAGCGGUGAAAUGCGUAGAUAUCGGGGAGGAACACCUGUGGCGAAAGCGGCGCACUGGACCACAACUGACGCUGAGGCGCGAAAGCUAGGGGAGCAAACAGG